GGGCACAUGGUGUAGUUGGUUAUCACAUCCGCUUAGCAAAUCAGCUUCUGCGGGGGGUGCUGGGUUCAAUUCCCAGUGUGUCCA